CCAGAGAACUUAGCAGAGAUGCUUUGGUGCCUUCGGGAACUCUGAGACAGGUGCUGCAUGGCUGUCGUCAGCUCGUGUUGUGAAAUGUUGGGUUAAGUCCCGCAACGAGCGCAACCCUUAUCCUUUGUUGCCAGCGGCUCGGCCGGGAACUCAAAGGAGACUGCCGGUGAUAAACCGGAGGAAGGUGGGGAUGCCGUCAAGUCAUCAUGGCCCUUACGGCCAGGGCUACACACGUGCUACAAUGGCGCAUACAAAGAGAAGCGACCUCGCGAGAGCAAGCGGACCUCAUAAAGUGCGUCGUAGUCCGGAUUGGAGUCUGCAACUCGGCUCCAUGAAGUCGGAAUCGCUAGUAAUCGUAGAUCAGAAUGCUACGGUGAAUACGUUCCCGGGCCUUGUACACACCGCCCGUCACACCAUGGGAGUGGGUUGCAAAAGAAGUAGGUAGCUUAACCUUCGGGAGGGCGCUUACCACUUUGUGAUUCAUGACUGGGGUGAAGUCGUAACAAGGUAGGCGUAGAUGA
rnacentral:rRNA from 1 species